CACGUAGUUAGCCGGGGCUUUCUGGUAAAGUACCGUCAUCCUAGCAUCAUUUCCUAUACUAGGUAUUCUUCCUUUACAACAGAGUUUUACAACCCAUAGGGCCUUCAUCACUCACGCGGCAUUGCUCGUUCAGGGUUUCCCCCAUUGACGAAUAUUCCUAACUGCUGUCUCCCAUAGGAGUCUGGGCCGUGUCUCAGUCCCAGUGUGUCCGAUCAGCCUCUCAGCUCGGAUAUGCAUCGUUGCCUUGGUAGGCCAGUUACCCCACAACUAGCUAAUACAACGCAGGCCCAUCUUAAAGUGAAGCAAAUGCUUCCUUUAACGUAUCUAGUUAUCGUAAUUACGUAUCAUCCGGUAUUACGCGAUCGUAUUUCUAACCGUUAUCCCUAGUCUCUAAGGUACGUUACCCAGUGUUACCUCUACCCGUCU
rnacentral:rRNA from 1 species